rnacentral:rRNA from 1 species
CUACGGGAUGCUGCAGUGGGGAAUAUUGGACAAUGGGGGAAACCCUGAUGCAGCCAUGCCGCGUGUAUGAAGAAGGCCUUCGGGUUGUAAAGUACUUUCAGCGGGGAGGAAGGGAGUAAAGUUAAUACCUUUGCUCAUUGACGUUACCCGCAGAAGAAGCACCGGCUAACUCCGUGCCAGCAGCCGCGGUAAUACGGAGGGUGCAAGCGUUAAUCGGAAUUACUGGGCGUAAAGCGCACGCAGGCGGUUUGUUAAGUCAGAUGUGAAAUCCCCGGGCUCAACCUGGGAACUGCAUCUGAUACUGGCAAGCUUGAGUCUCGUAGAGGGGGGUAGAAUUCCAGGUGUAGCGGUGAAAUGCGUAGAGAUCUGGAGGAAUACCGGUGGCGAAGGCGGCCCCCUGGACGAAGACUGACGCUCAGGUGCGAAAGCGUGGGGAGCAAACAGGAUUAGAUACCCGAGUAGUC